rnacentral:rRNA from 1 species
UACAGAGGAGCCAAGCGUUGUCCGGAUUGACUGGGCGUAAAGCGCACGCAGGCGGAUACGCGCGUGGGGUGUGAAAUCUGGCCGCUUAACGGCCAGGCGCCAUCCCAUACGGCGUGUCUGGAGCUGUGCAGAGGUCGGUGGAAUUGCCGGUGUAGUGGUGAAAUGCGUAGAGAUCGGCAGGAACACCCAGGGGAAACCAGCCGACUGGGCACAUGCUGACGCUGAGGUGCGAGAGCGUGGGGAGCGAACCGGA